rnacentral:rRNA from 1 species
UGCCUGCCCAGUGACGUAGAAGUUUAACGGCCGCGGUAUCUUGACCGUGCAAAGGUAGCAUAAUCAUUUGCCUUUUAAAUGGAGGCUGGAAUGAAUGGCAAGACGGAAAUUUGGCUGUCUCUUUCUUAAUAACCCUGAAUUUUAUAUUCUAGUGAAGAAGCUAGGAUAAGAUGGUGGGACGAGAAGACCCUGUUGAGCUUAAACAAUAAAAGUAGUGAUAGUUUUUUUAUUACUAGCUAAUUAAGGUUAAAGAAGUAACUUGCCUAUAAAUUUAUUUUAGUAGAAAAGUGUUGUAUUUGUGUUGUUUUGGUUGGGGCAACCGCGGAGAAUAAGAAACCUCCGCUUUAAAAAGUAAAAAAAGCACAGUUUUACUUAGAAAAUUUCUGUGAAGUGACCCACUUAAAUGGUGAUCAAAGGAAAAAGUUACCACAGGGAUAACAGCGUAAUUUUUUUGGAGAGUUCAUAUUGAUAAAAAAGUUUGCGACCUCGAUGUUGGAUCGAGACUUCCAGGGGGUGCAGCAGCUUCC